UUGGUGCUGCCAUCCAUACCACCGCUUCCUACUGUGGGAAGUGUGGCUAUGAGACUUACCUUCUUGGAGCUGGUAUUUAAAGCAAAUCAAUCACUGUUAUCAUGGUGUUUAUCAGCUGCCAUGCACCAGACCUUUACUCAGCUUCUGUCGCUUAAUUCUUAGGCAACUGUGGGCAGUGCUGUUAGGGUCCUCAAUUUGUAAGUGAGGCCACUGAGACACUGAGGAGUUAACGGACCUUGGCCUCAUCACUGGAGACCUUAGAUUCCAGCACUCGAGAAAUGAAUUCAUGGCGUAACUUCCGGGGGAUUUGAGGAGCUAUAACGUCCUUUCCAUGAAAUGGGAUCGACCUCGUCUCUCCUCCUGAAGGUCGGGAGCUUUCUGAAGUGUAUGAAUGUGUCGAAGAGGUCACGAACUCACCUUUCUUCUGCUUGGGAAUCUGAGGCUGGAGUGUUUUUAUUUGUCAAAUUCUGGUGAUAGACCUUGGCUGGGGUAUUCUGUUCCCAGAGCUCGAAGAUAAAUGGAUAAGCUCAUGUCAUUGGGUCUCUGUUGUCACAGCACACUGGACAUUGCAUUCAGUAGAAUCCCUUGAUGGAAACCAAAUGAGAAUCCUGAGGUGAAAGACAACCAAGAGGAGGAGGAUAAUCUUGGCUCCAACCCCAGGACGGAUGGGGAACAACAGAGAAAGGGUAUUUCCGGACCAGCAAAUGAGUUCCCAGAAGCAGGUGGAGAAGGAAUGUGGACCCCGGGGAGGAACAGAGCAGAGCAGACAUUCCACAUUCCCCGCUGCUGAGGCGACAGUCAGACUUUUCACUCACAGGGUGCCCAGGGCCAACUCACACCCCACGUGGCCUUAGUCUCGAGCAGCCCAUCUCCUGCCCAGCCCAAGUGGAGCCCAUGGGUACUGGACACCCCUAGGGGGCGCCAUUCCUGGCAGAGCCCUGGGGAACCAGAACCUUGGGCUUGUGCUGUGGGCACCCUGCACUUUGCUACCCCUGGCCUCUUUGGCUCCCUUGACCUCCUUGCUCUUAUACUAAUCCUAUUAACAAUCCACAGGCCUUUUGGUCCUCCCUGCUCAGCACAACCAGAAUAAGGGGGCUUUCAGGAGACAGGCCUGUUGGGGCCCCAUCAGGAGGACCCUGUCCUGAAGCCAUCAGCUCCCAAGACCGUGGGGGCUGUCAGGGGCUGCCACCCUCUCAGGUGUCACCUGCUCCACUGUCCUCCCCCGGCGGGUGCGCUGGCCUCCCGAGAGUCUGGAUGGACUCCAGGCUGUCACGAUGACAUGGUAAUUGCACUCAUCUAGUAGAGCUAGAUCUGCCGAGAACAAUACGGGGAUAAUGAUGUGCUUCAGCUGCUGCUGUCCUGAAGGUCAGGAAGUGAGGUGGCAUGCACCUGUCUCAGGGUGCGGUGAUGGCCAGGUGUGCACACCCUGUAGAACAGAGGCUCUGUGGCCUGACUGUGCCAGCCAGGUGCCUCUGGGGCCCCUUUCCUCUCCUGCCCGGAGACUCGCUGCUCAGCGGCUGCUGUGAGCUCAGUCCUCUGGGGCAGGAAGGCUGUCCCUCUGGGGGUCCGCUGAGACUUCCGCCACACUGUGCGUGGAUAUCUCCGUGCGCCGUCCCUGCCCCCUCAUGCCUGUCCCCUUCUGUUCUCUGCCACUCCCUACCCUCUCCCCACCUCCCAUCCCAGCCUCAGCGACCCCCUCCACCCCUGUGGGGCUGUUCACGCCCCUCUGUGGACCCCGGAAGCCAGCUGCUGCUUCCUGGCCUAUGCCAUGGUAACAUCGGCCACCAUGAACACCUGAGCUACUUUCCAGAGCUCACAGAGAGCUCUUGGCUCUAUGAUGCCCUCUGAUCCUCACACCAGCUAC